rnacentral:piRNA from 1 species
UCCUAAACAGGACGAGGAAAGUGAGGA